CUUGCUCAUUAGAUACCAGAAACGGUGUUGGUUCAUUUAAACAGCAG
rnacentral:rRNA from 1 species